UACGUAGGGGGCGAGCGUUGUCCGGAUUUACUGGGCGUAAAGAGCGCGUAGGCGGAAAUUUAAGCGUGGCCUGAAAGCCCCCGGCUCAACCGGGGAGUGCGGCUGCGAACUGGGUUUCUUGAGGACGAUAGAGGAGAGUGGAAUUCCUGGUGUAGCGGUGAAAUGCGUAGAUAUCAGGAGGAACACCCGAGGCGAAGGCGGCUCUCUGGGCAUGAUCUGACGCUGAGGAGCGAAAGUGUGGGGAGCGAACAGG
rnacentral:rRNA from 1 species